CCCCACGUAGCUCAAUCGGCAGAGCAGCGGUUUGUGGUACCGCAGACCUGGGUUCGAAUCCUGGCGUGAGGACCU
rnacentral:tRNA from 1 species